CACGUAGGGUGCGAGCGUUGUCCGGAAUUAUUGGGCGUAAAGAGCUCGUAGGCGGUGUGUCGCGUCGGCCGUGAAAACCUGCAGCUUAACUGUGGGCGUGCGGUCGAUACGGACAUCACUGGAGUUCGGCAGGGGAGACUGGAAUUCCUGGUGUAGCGGUGAAAUGCGCAGAUAUCAGGAGGAACACCGGUGGCGAAGGCGGGUCUCUGGGCCGAUACUGACGCUGAGGAGCGAAAGCGUGGGGAGCGAACAGG
rnacentral:rRNA from 1 species